CAACAGCUUAUUUAGAAAAAUUGGCUGCCACAUUUCAGACACGGUGUGGACUACCUAUUCACCAUAAAGUCGGCUUUAAUGAUGUUCCAAAAUUUGAGAGCUUAUUGGACAUCAAGAUUGUGAUCUUUUACAGAUCAGACGUAGGGGUGUUGCAGAAAUUUCAAACUAGCACUGUACCGCAUACAAAAACAGCCUUUUUAUACAUACACGACAGCCAUUACUACGGAAUAUUAAACCUCAAGGCGUUCAUGGGGGUGCCGUAUGUCUGUGAAUUCUGCUAUGCCGGUUACACUUCGUUCCGAGAGCAUGGUUGCAAAUACAGGUGUGAUGUUUGUAACGACCCCGGAUGCCCUUCAAGGGUCACAGGUUCGAGAUAUUGCUCGUCUUGUGGGAGGUUUUGCAAGUCUGAUUAUUGUUUUGACAAACAUAAACAGCCGCGUCCUAUGAAGAGCGAUCCUGGCGUGGUGGCGUCAAAUUGUGAUCUUACAAAAUUUUGUAAGAAUUGUAACAGGCGUUACCACGUUAGUGUUAAAAAACCCAAACCACACACGUGUCCGACACCACACUGUGUUCAUUGUCGUGAAGAACUGAUUCCAGACGCUAAGCAUGAAUGCUUCAUACAACCCAUUAGAUUGAAGGAGACAAACAACCACUACAUUUUUUUUGAUUUUGAAACACGUUUCGAGAACGGCAAACAUCAUGCAAAUUUUGUUUGCGCAAUUACAUUUACAGGUGUGGAGUUCACGGCUGAGGGUGACGGGUGUGUGCGUGAAUUUGUGAAUUGGCUCCGUCGACCGAGGUUCAACGGUUUCACAUUUUUAGCACACAACGCUGCAGGGUUUGAUAAUUUCAUACUUUUGGAAUAUUACUCCAAAAACGGGAUCAAACUAGAUGUGACAAUGACUGGAUGCCGUCUGAUAUUCAUGUAUGAUGCAUGUUUUAAACAGCGUUUUAUCGACAGCUAUUCUUUUCUACCGAUGAGUCUGGCAAAAACAACAGCUGCGUUAAAUCUCACCACCACAGAAAAGGGUUAUUUCCCACACAAGUUUAACACACGCUCAAACAGCCAUUACAUAGGCCCAUACCCGGAUAAGACCUUUUAUGGAUAUGACAACAUGUCCAAUGCUGGCAGACGUGAAUUUGAUGACUGGUACAACGAAUCAGCGUGCGGUGUUUUUGAUUUUCAGAAGGAACUCCGUUUCUACGGUCGAAACGACGUCGUGCUGUUAAGAGAGGCGUGUCUGAAAUACCGUGACGAGUUCAUAGAAUGCACGGGUCUAGACCCUUUUGGUCAAACCACGUUGGCGUCGUGCUGCAUGGCUGUAUACAAAACACACUACCUACCGCGUGAUACACUCGCUCUUACACAUAACAACGCGUACACAAGCCAAAACAAGGCAUUUUCAGACAUUAGCAUCGAAUGGCUGGAAUAUGUCAAAACAACCAGGCAUGUGCACAUCCAACACGCUCUGACAGAGGGUGAGGUUGUGGUUGGGAAAUACUGUCUUGACGGCUAUUAUGAAAAAAAUGGUCGUAAAUACGGUUUAGAAUUUAAUGGGUGUAUGCAUCACGGACAUGAUUGUAAAUACACACCCACCCAGACUCAUCCUUUGUCAAGGCUCCCGUACAGUGUUUUAAGAAGGCAAUUUGAUGAUAAGAUUGAAACCCUCACCAAGGUGUACGGCUUAAAAGUCGAAGUUAUGUGGGAGUGCCAGUGGCGUCGUUUAAAACAGGUCGAACCAUCAGUCAUAGAGUUCAUGUCGACAUAUGCACACCCCAGUCGUCUAAAGCCGAGAGACAGCCUCUUUGGCGGUCGAACGAAUGCGUACAAACUCUAUCACAAAACAUCGGACGGUGAAAAAAUUCGUUACUUUGAUUUCACCAGUCUCUACCCGUUUUGUCAAUCAUCAAAGGAAUAUCCGAUCGGCCACCCACAGAUCAUUUUGAAAGACUUUGAUAGUCUCGAAAAUUACUAUGGGUUGGUUAAAGCAACGGUGUACCCGCCACGUGGUCUCUUACACCCUGUGUUGCCAUACCGAUGCGGCGGCAAACUAAUGUUCCCGCUUUGUAGAACAUGUUGUCAUCUUGAGAAUCAAGCGUCACCAUGUACUCAUACUGACGGCGAGAGAUCUCUUUCGGGUUGUUGGGUCAGCAUUGAAUUGAUGAAAGCUGUACAGAUGGGCUAUGUUUUGGCAGAGAUUCAUGAAGUGUGGCAUUUUGAACAAAGAUCAGAAACGUUGUUUGCAGAUUAUGUGAAAACGUUUCUACAAUACAAGCAGGAAGCCAGUGGGUACCCGCCGGGGGUUGUGACGGAUGUUGAAAAGCAUGCAUACAUUGAAGAUUAUUUUCAAAAACAGGGUAUCCGUCUGAAUCCUGAAAAAAUCUGUUCAAACCCUGCAAGGAGAAAUAUUAACAAACUCCUAUUGAACUCACUUUGGGGCCGAUUUUCAAUGCGGGAAAACCUUCCAUACACAGAGUUGUUGAAAGAUCCUGACGACUUUUCGCGAUACAUUUUUGGGGGCGGUCGUGAAAUCACACAUUUUGCAUUUGUCUCGGACGAAGUGGCAUUGGUUCAGUGGCGUUAUGCAGACGGUUAUGGCGCUCAAAUGCGUGACAUUAAUGUGUUUCUUGGAGCGUUUACAACGGCUCAUGCACGCCUAGAAUUAUAUUCUGUGAUGGAGAAAUUGGGUGAUCGGCUGCUGUACAGCGACACAGACAGUCUAAUCUUUGUCUCAAAAGAUGGUGACUGGGAGCCACCCCUAGGUCCAUAUCUGGGCGAUCUUACUGACGAGGUAGGCCCCGGGGAUUACAUUACAGAAUUUUGUUCAGGCGGUCCGAAAACAUAUGGUUACAUCACCGCUAACGGUAAGACAUCCAUGAAGGCCAAGGGUAUCACUCUCAAUGCUGAAAAUUCAAAAGCUGUAAAUCUACGCUCUCUGGUUGAUUUGGUUAACAGCUAUGUAAUAGAUGGAGACCGGUCGCAACAUGUUUUAACACGCACAAACACAAUUACC
ensembl:lncRNA